UUUUUUGGGGGGGGCAUCUGGUGUAAUAGCAGCUCAUAUUUAAGUUCAAGCAGCUGAAUGUUUGAAAUUUGCACUCAUGAAUAUUUGUAUUUUAUUCCCUUUUGAAUCAAUGUGUGGGUCACUCAACUUCCAGUGGUCAGAGAGAACUAUUACAAACAUGUGUGGACUCCAUUAGAACUUACAACAUACAAACCCAAUUCCAAUAAAGUUGGGACAUUGUGUAAAAUGGAAAUAAAAACAGAAUACAAUGAUUUGCAAAUCCUCUUCAACCUAUAUUCAAUUGAAUACACCAUAAAGACAAGAU